UCGAGUUACCACUCCCAAACCUUUGUGAACCUAUACCAACGUUGCUUCGGCGUCCAUCCCGGGCGUGGCCACGGCUGCGUCCCGGAUCCAGGUGGGCGCCGGGGGACCCAAACCUCUGUCUUUUAGUGGAUCUCUGAGUGGCAAAAGCGAAUAUCA
rnacentral:misc_RNA from 1 species